rnacentral:misc_RNA from 1 species
GUGAAUCAUCGAAUUUUUGAACGCACAUUGCACUCUUUGCUGAGAGUAUGCCUGUUUGAGUUUCAGCCUAAAAAAAAUCGACAUAGUUCCUGUUUUGCGGUGACAUUCGUCCGAAAUUGGGUCAUCUUAAGCCUUUUGGUUUUAAGCGGCUUCAAAUUGUCUUUACGAUUCUACGAACGAUUCUAAGAUUUACUUACACGUUUAAGGUAUCGAUCUUUAUUAGACUUGGCUGUUGUAUCGUAUG